CCGGCGGUGUGCCUAAUACAUGCAAGUCGUACGCACUGGCCCAACUGAUUGAUGGUGCUUGCACCUGAUUGACGAUGGAUCACCAGUGAGUGGCGGACGGGUGAGUAACACGUAGGUAACCUGCCCCGGAGCGGGGGAUAACAUUUGGAAACAGAUGCUAAUACCGCAUAACAACAAAAGCCACAUGGCUUUUGUUUGAAAGAUGGCUUUGGCUAUCACUCUGGGAUGGACCUGCGGUGCAUUAGCUAGUUGGUAAGGUAACGGCUUACCAAGGCGAUGAUGCAUAGCCGAGUUGAGAGACUGAUCGGCCACAAUGGGACUGAGACACGGCCCAAACUCCUACGGGAGGCAGCAGUGGGGAAUAUUGGACAAUGGGGGAAACCCUGAUCCAGCGACGCCGCGUGAGCGAAGAAGUAUUUCGGUAUGUAAAGCUCUAUCAGCAGGGAAGAAGAAAUGACGGUACCUGACUAAGAAGCCCCGGCUAACUACGUG
rnacentral:rRNA from 1 species